GGAGCUUGGCUUUACUUUAGUGAGAUUGUGACUGUGCUCUUCCUUCUUAAAAAUUCCCCAUGUGGCUUGUUUUCCAAAGUACCGAGAACAAAACCCUACGCUUCCCUAGGUCUUGUAACCCUUCAAGUCUGAAUGGAAAUAUAGUGCUUGGUCAUAUUCUA